GGGAGCCUGCUUCUCCCUCUCCCUCUGCCACUCCCCCUGCUUGUGCUCACUCUCUCUCUCUGACAAAUAAAUAAAAUCUUUAAGAAAAAAAGAUUCAGUGAGUCCUGCAGUGAUGCUAGUGACAAGGUUAUUAUCAGGGUCCAGGUUAUAAAGGUGUGUCAUGACACAUCUGUCAAAAUGUUUUCUUCAGGUUACUGUUAAGAUACCAUGGUAAUCCUCAUAAUGAUCAUUAAAGGGAUUUUGUUUGUAUCUAGGUAAGUGAUGACGAUAGCCUUUUCCAUGCUAUAGACCAUCUAAUAUUCAGGUAUCUGAGUAAGUAUGGAUGGUAUUCCUAACCUUGUGUUGCUAUGUUUUUUUGCGGGUAUUCAGGUAAGAAAUGGUAUUGUCAAUCGAUGCUAGUAAGCGUUAGUCCUUAUUAUUUUAAAGUUUAGAUAUAAUGUUUGUAUAACAUCAGUAAUGUCAGAGAUUACAUAAGUAUUCAGGUAAGUUAGUAUUUUGCCCGUCGCCUCUUUAUUGACCAUGACUUCUUACAGUUAUCUUGUCAAGACAGUAUUGUGUCUCUAACUAGGGGGUUGACCUUGAACUUCUGCAAGUUUCCAGGUAGAUUUGAUAGGCCUCAUAAAUUUGAUGGGAUUUUGCAGGCAAUACAUGUAUUCCUAACACAGUUUUUACCAUGAAUUUUUAUAGAGUCCACUCAAGAGAUGAUGGAAGGCCUUCGAGAAAAUAUACCAGAGAAAUCCCAAAUUAAAUACUAUGGUCAUGAUGAGCAGUGGGUGAUGUAUGGAAUUGUUGAAUUGCCAUAUUGUAUACCUGAAACUAGUAUAACACUGUAUGUUUACUGGAAUUAAAAUUAAAAAAUAUAGAAGGGGAUUCAAAAACAAUCCCAGGGUAAAAUGACCUAUUCAAGUCGUGUAACAAUAUUUUCAGUUUCCAAUAGCUGCCUGUGAAAAAAGUCUUGCUCAAAAUGCAUAAAAUGAGAAAAAUGUAUUCCAUAUGAAUGAACGAAUAACUUGAACUUGUGCUAGUCAGAAAAUAAGAUUGAAUGAAUGAAUAAAUGAAUGCUAUUGUUAGUUGAACCAUCAUCUCUUAAUUUGUAUUUUUGCAGAUACCCACUCAGGAGGAGAAAAUGUCUCUAUUCAAGGUCUUGUCCCUGGAUUUUUGCAAGUAGCUGGAUGGAUUUUAUGGUUCCCUUUAAGUCUGCAGUGCUCAUUAGGUUUUCAGGUGUCCAGGUUAUGGAAUUACCGGUAGACACUGUUCUCUCUUUGGCUUUUGUAGAUUCCAGUGAAGAGAUUGUUGAGAACCUCCGUGUGGUAUUGAAGGCAAAAUUUUGUUUGCACUAAGUACAAGAUAAUGGUGUUCGUACCAGAGUUAGAGCUCAUGAGAUUUUGCACAUAUCCAGGUAGACCGUGUUGGUAUUCUGAAGCCAACCUAGUGACCAUGAUUUCUUUAUGUCCAGGUAAGAGAUGAUGGUGUCCCUAAUCAAGAUAAUGACCAUGGGAUUUUGCAGUUAUCCAAGCAAGAGAUGCCAUAUCCCUACCAUGAUCUUGAUCCUGCACCUUUCUAGGUAUUCAGCUUUUUUAGAUAUUCUGAGAAGAGAUGAUGGUGUUGCUAACCACACUAACGACCAUAGGAUUCUGCACAUAUCCAGUGAAGAGACGAUAGCAUCUCUUUCAACAUUGGUGUCUAUGGAAAUGAAAGAAAUGGAAUGCUUUUUUUGAUUAGCUGUAUAAUUUGUUAAAAGAAUUUUCAUGUUCAA